GUAUUAAAGGCAACGUUGCCCAGUGAAUAAUUAAACGGCCGCGGUAUCCUAACCGUGCAAGGGUAGCAUAAUCAUUUGUCUAUUAAUUGUAGACCCGUAUGAAAGGCAAAAUGAGGGUUCAACUGUCUCUUAUAAUACAUCAAUUAAACUGAUCUUCUAGUACAAAAGCUAGAAUACUAACAUAAGACCAGAAGACCCUGUGAAGCUUUAACUAAACUAUUAAACCACUUAAUAACUACUUUCGGUUGGGGCGACCUUGGAAUAAAAAAGAACUUCCAAAUAUCAACAUUACAUUAAAGGCAGACAAGCCCACAUAAGACCCAGCAUAGCUGACAAUUGAACCAAGUUACUCCAGGGAUAACAGCGCUAUCUUCUUCAAGAGCCCAUAUCAAAAAGAAGGUUUACGACCUCGAUGUUGGAUCAGGACAUCCUAGCAAUGCAACCGUUACUAAGGGUUCGUUUGUUCAACGAUUAAUAGUCCUACGAGAUCUGAG
rnacentral:rRNA from 1 species